GGUUGUGAUGGUGUGGAUGGAGGGGGGAGCAGUAGCAGCAGAGAAUGGUGACGGCUCUGCCAUCGCGUCACCUUCCCUGCAGCCACUGCUCCUCCCUGCCGUGCUGCUGCUCGACCC